rnacentral:rRNA from 1 species
AACAGGAUUAGAUACCCUGGUAGUCCACGCCGUAACCGAUGGAUACUAGGUGUAGGAGGUAUCGACCCCUUCUGUGCCGGAGUUAACACAAUAAGUAUCCCACCUGGGGAGUACGAUCGCAAGAUUGAAACUCAAAGGAAUUGACGGGGGCCCGCACAAGCAGUGGAGUAUGUGGUUUAAUUCGAAGCAACGCGAAGAACCUUACCAGGGUUUGACAUCCCUCUGACGAUACUAGAGAUAGUAUUUUCCUUUUGGACAGAGGUGACAGGUGGUGCAUGGUUGUCGUCAGCUCGUGUCGUGAGAUGUUGGGUUAAGUCCCGCAACGAGCGCAACCCUUAUUGUUAGUUGCCAGCAUGUAAGAUGGGCACUCUAGCGAGACUGCCGGCGACAAGUCGGAGGAAGGUGGGGACGACGUCAAAUCAUCAUGCCCCUUAUAUCCUGGGCUACACACGUACUACAAUGGCUACAACAGACGGGAAGCGAAGCAGCGAUGUGGAGCCAAUCCCCAAAAGUAGUCCCAGUUCGGAUUGUAGGCUGCAACUCGCCUACAUGAAGUCGGAAUUGCUAGUAAUCGCGUAUCAGCAUACCACGGGCAGUAAGUUCCCGGGCCUCGUA